UACGGAGGGUGCAAGCGUUAUCCGGAUUCACUGGGUUUAAAGGGUGCGUAGGAGGGCAGGUAAGUCAGUGGUGAAAUCUCCAAGCUUAACUUGGAACUGCCGUUGAUACUAUCUGUCUUGAAUAUUUGUGGAGGUGAGCGGAAUAUGUCAUGUAGCGGUGAAAUGCUUAGAUAUGACAUAGAACACCAAUUGCGAAGGCAGCUUACUACACAGUUAAUUGACACUGAGGCACGAAAGCGUGGGGAUCAAACAGG
rnacentral:rRNA from 1 species